GCUUUCGUAGUGUAGUGGUCAGCACACUCGACGGGUAACCUAGAGGUCCGUAGUUCGAUUCCCGGCGAGGGCG
rfam:Stegodyphus mimosarum contig124348, whole genome shotgun sequence.